AUUGGGCGUAAUGAUACAUCGUAAAGUUUCCAUGUGCUUUUAAUUUCGGUCAUUUAAUAGAUUUAUUCGCGGAGUUCCGAAAAGAACAAUUUUCUAUACUUUGAGCCAAUAGGAAAACCAUCUGCAUUGAUUUAAAUUACGACAUCAUUCGAAAAUGAAAAAGUUGCUGGACAAGAUCAAUAACGCUUUCGACGGAAUUCCAUACCUCCCCAGCACUUUGCGUUUUCCUAUGUCGGUCUUGUGUUACUAUACCGGAAUAUUUAUUCCAUUCCUUCAUUGCAUCGUCGCUGAAUUUCCCCUGUGCAUAAUGGAUUGGUUCUUCUCAGCUGUACUUGCAUUCAACUGUUUUUUUGUUGGGACCUAUUUCUUUAUGAGAAGAAGAAAGGACUUGGCUAAAGAGAACGCUAAUAGAGAUAGGAUGUUUGAAUUUGAUGCAUGAUGUUUUACUAAACCAUGUAAACUCAACUGGGAUUUUUUAUGAACAGACUUUUAAUAAAUUGUUUUAAUUAUU